rnacentral:rRNA from 1 species
CCUCAAAAGAGAAGGCUCGACCAUCGAGGGUCAUGGUACGACAGAGGAGGUGCCACCGAAAACCGAAAGAGCGGCCGAGCCGUCGAACGACACUCCACGCCUCCAAAAGAAGCCGGAGGCCGACACAACGCCACGCGCCGCAGGAAAGUGCUGCGCACUCUUCGAAAGGUGCCCAAAGGGAAACCAUUCCGUCCUCAACCUGACUCGCGCUACACCGAGAGACCCGAAAGCCCCAAGGCCGCGCUCGCCACGUCCGGCGCAAUCAAGCGCCCACAGCCGCACGAGAGGUCGCCGCUUCCUUGGCCGAUGGCACCGAGGCCACCCGCCAGCUGCGCCCGCACAAGCUGCACUGUCUCUCGGCAGGCUGCCGACCGCGAUCGGAGAUCGCGGUGGCCAAGCCGCCUUCAACACGGAGAGAAGCACCAGCCGACCAG